UGUCGAACAAGUGAUGUCGACACCGAUGACUUCCCGAUUAAGAUAGGACUGCAUCAGGGGUCCGCUUUGAGCCCUUAUCUUUUUGCAUUAGUGAUGGAUGAGGUCACAAGGGGUAUACAAGGAGAUAUCCCAUGGUGUAUGCUCUUUGCGGAUGAUGUGGUGCUAGUUGACGAUAGUCGGACGGGGGUAAAUAGGAAGUUAGAGUUAUGGAGACAAACCUUGGAAUCGAAAGGGUUUAGACUUAGUAGAACUAAAACCGAGUACAUGAUGUGCGGUUUCAGUACUACUAGCUGUGAGGAGGAGGAGGUUAGCCUUGAUGGCCAGGUGGUACCUCGGAAGGACACCUUUCGAUAUUUGGGGUCAAUGUUGCAGGAGGAUGGGGGUAUUGAUGAAUAUGUGAACCAUCGAAUCAAAGCCGGAUGGAUGAAGUGGCGCCAAGCUUCUGGCAUUCUCUGUGACAAGAGAGUGCCACAAAAGCUAAAAGGCAAGUUCUACAGGACGGCGGUUCGACCCGCAAUGUUGUAUGGCGCGGAGUGUUGGCCGACUAAAAGGCGACAUGUUCAACAGUUAGGUGUGGCGGAGAUGCGUAUGUUGAGAUGGAUGUGUGGCCACAGGAGGAAGGAUCGAGUCCGGAAUGAUGAUAUACGAGAUAGAGUUGGGGUAGCACCAAUUGAGGAGAAGCUUGUCCAACAUCGUUUGAGAUGGUUUGGGCAUAUUCAGCGCAGGCCUCCAGAAGCUCCAGUGCAUAGCGGACGGCUAAAGCGUGCGGAGAAUGUCAAUAGAGGGCGGGGUCGACCGAUUUUGACAUGGGAGGAGUCCGUUAAGAGAGACCUAAAGGAUUGGAGUAUCGACAAAGAGCUA
rnacentral:rRNA from 1 species